AACCCAAAUUAAUAAAUACCGGCGUAAAGCGUGUUUAAGUAAUUCACAAAAAUAAAGUUAAUAAUUGACUAAACUGUAGCACGUUCUAGUUAAUAUUAAAAUACAUAAUAAAAAUGACUUUAAUAUCACCUACUACACGACAACUAAGACACAAACUGGGAUUAGAUACCCCACUAUGCUUAGUAAUAAACUAAAAUAAUUUAUUAAACAAAAUUAUUCGCCAGAGAACUACUAGCCAUUGCUUAAAACUCAAAGGACUUGGCGGUGCCCUAAACCCACCUAGAGGAGCCUGUUCUAUAAUCGAUAAACCCCGAUAAACCCGACCUUAUCUUGCCAAUA
rnacentral:rRNA from 1 species